rnacentral:tRNA from 1 species
GCCUCUGUGGCUUAGUGGUACAGCGUCUCACUCGUAAUGAGAAGAUCCCCGGUUCGAUUCCGGGUGGAGGCA